rnacentral:rRNA from 1 species
CCUACGGGAGGCAGCAGUGAGGAAUAUUGGUCAAUGGACGAGAGUCUGAACCAGCCAAGUAGCGUGAAGGAUGACUGCACUAUGUGUUGUAAACUUCUUUUAUAAAGGAAUAAAACGAGGCACGUGUGCCUUUUUGCAUGUACUUUAUGAAUAAGGAUCGGCUAACUCCGUGCCAGCAGCCGCGGUAAUACGGAGGAUCCGAGCGUUAUCCGGAUUUAUUGGGUUUAAAGGGAGCGUAGAUGGGUUGUUAAGUCAGUUGUGAAAGUUUGCGGCUCAACCGUAAAAUUGCAAUUGAGACUGGCAGUCUUGAGUACAGUUGAGGUAGGCGGAAUGCGUGGUGUAGCGGUGAAAUGCAUAGAUAGCACGAAGAACCCCGAUUGCGAAGGCAGCUUACUAAACUGUGACUGACAUUGAUGCUCGAAAGUGUGGGUAUCGAACAGGAUUAGAUACCCUUGUAGUC